GACGAACGCUGGCGGCGUGCUUAACACAUGCAAGUCGAGCGGUAAGGCCCUUUCGGGGGUACACGAGCGGCGAACGGGUGAGUAACACGUGGGUGACCUGCCCUCAGCUCUGGGAUAAGCCUGGGAAACUGGGUCUAAUACUGGAUAUGACUCCACGGUGCAUGUCGUGGGGUGGAAAGCCUUGUGCGGCUGAGGAUGGGCCCGCGGCCUAUCAGCUUGUUGGUGGGGNGAUGGCCUACCAAGGCGACGACGGGUAGCCGGCCUGAGAGGGCGGACCGGCCACACUGGGACUGAGACACGGCCCAGACUCCUACGGGAGGCAGCAGUGGGGAAUCUUGCGCAAUGGGCGAAAGCCUGACGCAGCGACGCCGCGU
rnacentral:rRNA from 1 species